UAUUUUUAUAUUCAGUUAUAAUAUCAGAUCAUCCCAUAAAUAAUGUUGUUUUUGCAUGUGAAGAAAAUAAAUUUUAUCUGAAACAGAUCUUUUAAUUAUCAUAAAGAAGGUUGUAAGUGCUCCCAGUACUUACAACCCACUCUCAUUGUUCAAUAAGUUUUUGAAUUCCAGACUUUGAAGUCCAUGGAUUUUGAUCCAAAAAAUUCAGAGAGGGGUUUGGUGCACCUCCUUGACAUUUUUAAGUUUUUUCACAGAAUGAUAAUGUUUAAGACUACAAAACAGAUGGUAAUUGGAUGGUGGAAGUUUAGAAAUAUGCUGGAUGGGGAAGUUUCCCAACCCAAACUUUUACAACUUCACAAAUCAUUCUGGCCAUAUGUGAUUUUACAUUGUCCUGUUGAAUAACCAAGUCUUUAUGAUUAAGAAUGCCAGA
rnacentral:lncRNA from 1 species